GAUGAACGCUGGCGGCGUGCCUAAUACAUGCAAGUCGAGCGAACAGACGAGGAGCUUGCUCCUCUGACGUUAGCGGCGGACGGGUGAGUAACACGUGGAUAACCUACCUAUAAGACUGGGAUAACUUCGGGAAACCGGAGCUAAUACCGGAUAACAUGUUGAACCGCAUGGUUUAACAGUGAAAGACGGUCUUGCUGUCACUUAUAGUUGGAUCCGCGCCGCAUUAGCUAGUUGGUAAGGUAACGGCUUACCAAGGCAACGAUGCGUAGCCGACCUGAGAGAGUGAUCGCCCACAUUGGAACUGAGACACGGUCCAGACUCCUACGGGAGGCAGCAGUAGGGAAUCUUCCGCAAUGGGCGAAAGCCUGACGGAGCAACGCCGCGUGAGUGAAGAAGGUCUUCGGAUCGUAAAACUCUGUUAUUAGGGAAGAACAAAUGUGUAAGUAACUAUGCACGUCUUGACGGUACCUAAUCAGAAAGCCACGGCUAACUACGUG
rnacentral:rRNA from 1 species